rnacentral:rRNA from 1 species
CCCAGACUCCUACGGGAGGCAGCAGUGGGGGAUAUUGCACAAUGGGGGAAACCCUGAUGCAGCGACGCCGCGUGGGCGAAGAAGUAUUUCGGUAUGUAAAGCCCUAUCAGCAGGGAAGAAGAAAUGACGGUACCUGAGUAAGAAGCACCGGCUAAAUACGUGCCAGCAGCCGCGGUAAUACGUAGGGGGCAAGCGUUAUCCGGAUUCACUGGGUGUAAAGGGAGCGUAGACGGCGACGCAAGUCUGGAGUGAAAGCCCGGGGCCCAACCCCGGGACUGCUCUGGAAACUGCGGCGCUGGAGUACGGGAGGGGCAGGCGGAAUUCCUGGUGUAGCGGUGAAAUGCGUAGAUAUCAGGAGGAACACCGGCGGCGAAGGCGGCCUGCUGGACCGUGACUGACGUUGAGGCUCGAGAGCGUGGGGAGCAAACAGGAUUAGAUACCCUGGUA